rnacentral:tRNA from 1 species
GCAUUGGUGGUUCAGUGGUAGAAUUCUCGCCUGCCACGCUGGAGGUCUGGUUCGAUUCGGGCCAAUGCA